rnacentral:rRNA from 1 species
AGCAGCCGCGGUAAUUCCAGCUCCAAUAGCGUAUAUUAAAGUUGUUGCAGUUAAAAAGCUCGUAGUUGAAUUUCGGGAUCAGUAGGUCGGUCAUGCCUCAGGUAUGUACUGGUCUCACUGGUUCCUCCUUCCUGAUGAACCGUAAUGCCAUUAAUUUGGUGUUGCGGGGAAACUGGACUGUUACUUUGAAAAAAUUAGAGUGUUUAAAGCAGGCUAACGCUUGAAUACAUUAGCAUGGAAUAGUGAAAUAGGACGUUCGAUCCUAUUUUGUUGGUUUCUAGGAUUGACGUAAUGAUUAAUAGGGAUAGUUGGGGGCAUUAGUAUUCAAUUGUCAGAGGUGAAAUUCUUGGAUUUAUUGAAGACUAACUACUGCGAAAGCAUUUGCCAAGGAUGUUUUCAUUAAUCAAGAACGAAAGUUAGGGGAUCGAAGACGAUCAGAUACCGUCGUAGUCUUAACCAUAAACUAUGCCGACUAGGGAUCGGAUGAUGUUAUUUUUAAUGACUCAUUCGGCGCCUUACG